rnacentral:rRNA from 1 species
GGUUAAGCGACUAAGCGUACACGGUGGAUGCCCUGGCAGUCAGAGGCGAUGAAGGACGUGCUAAUCUGCGAAAAGCGUCGGUAAGGUGAUAUGAACCGUUACAGCCGGCGAUGUCCGAAUGGGGAAACCCAGUGUGAUUCGUCACACUAUCGUUAACUGAAUACAUAGGUUAACGAGGCGAACCGGGGGAACUGAAACAUCUAAGUACCCCGAGGAAAAGAAAUCAACCGAGAUUCCCCCAGUAGCGGCGAGCGAACGGGGAGCAGCCCAGAGUCUGAAUCAGCUUGUGUGUUAGUGGAACGGUCUGGAAAGUCCGACGGUACAGGGUGAUAGUCCCGUACACCAAAAUGCACAGGCUGUGAACUCGAAGAGUAGGGCGGGACACGUGGUAUCCUGUCUGAAUAUGGGGGGACCAUCCUCCAAGGCUAAAUACUCCUGACUGACCGAUAGUGAACCAGUACCGUGAGGGAAAGGCGAAAAGAACCCCGGCGAGGGGAGUGAAAAAGAACCUGAAACCGUGUACGUACAAGCAGUGGGAGCACCUUCGGGUGUGACUGCGUACCUUUUGUAUAAUGGGUCAGCGACUUAUAUUCUGUAGCAAGGUUAACCGUAUAGGGGAGCCGCAGGGAAACCGAGUCUUAACUGGGCGUUAAGUUGCAGGGUAUAGACCCGAAACCCGGUGAUCUAGCCAUGGGCAGGUUGAAGGUUGGGUAACACUAACUGGAGGACCGAACCGACUAAUGUUGAAAAAUUAGCGGAUGACUUGUGGCUGGGGGUGAAAGGCCAAUCAAACCGGGAGAUAGCUGGUUCUCCCCGAAAGCUAUUUAGGUAGCGCCUCGUGAACUCAUCUUCGGGGGUAGAGCACUGUUUCGGCUAGGGGGUCAUCCCGACUUACCAACCCGAUGCAAACUACGAAUACCGAAGAAUGUUAUCACGGGAGACACACGGCGGGUGCUAACGUCCGUCGUGAAGAGGGAAACAACCCAGACCGCCAGCUAAGGUCCCAAAGUCACAGUUAAGUGGGAAACGAUGUGGGAAGGCACAGACAGCCAGGAUGUUGGCUUAGAAGCAGCCAUCAUUUAAAGAAAGCGUAAUAGCUCACUGGUCGAGUCGGCCUGCGCGGAAGAUGUAACGGGGCUAAACUGUGCACCGAAGCUGCGGCAGCGACACUUAGGUGUUGUUGGGUAGGGGAGCGUUCUGUAAGCCUGCGAAGGUGGCCUGUGAGGGUUGCUGGAGGUAUCAGAAGUGCGAAUGCUGACAUAAGUAACGAUAAUGCGGGUGAAAAGCCCGCACGCCGGAAGACCAAGGGUUCCUGUCCAACGUUAAUCGGGGCAGGGUGAGUCGACCCCUAAGGCGAGGCCGAAAGGCGUAGUCGAUGGGAAACAGGUUAAUAUUCCUGUACUUGGUGUUACUGCGAAGGGGGGACGGAGAAGGCUAUGUUAGCCGGGCGACGGUUGUCCCGGUUUAAGCAUGUAGGCGGAGGUUCCAGGUAAAUCCGGUACCUUUUAACGCUGAGGUGUGAUGACGAGGCACUACGGUGCUGAAGUAACAAAUGCCCUGCUUCCAGGAAAAGCCUCUAAGCAUCAGGUAACAUUAAAUCGUACCCCAAACCGACACAGGUGGUCAGGUAGAGAAUACCAAGGCGCUUGAGAGAACUCGGGUGAAGGAACUAGGCAAAAUGGUGCCGUAACUUCGGGAGAAGGCACGCUGAUAUGUAGGUGAAGCCCCUGCGGGUGGAGCUGAAAUCAGUCGAAGAUACCAGCUGGCUGCAACUGUUUAUUAAAAACACAGCACUGUGCAAACACGAAAGUGGACGUAUACGGUGUGACGCCUGCCCGGUGCCGGAAGGUUAAUUGAUGGGGUUAUCCGUAAGGAGAAGCUCUUGAUCGAAGCCCCGGUAAACGGCGGCCGUAACUAUAACGGUCCUAAGGUAGCGAAAUUCCUUGUCGGGUAAGUUCCGACCUGCACGAAUGGCGUAAUGAUGGCCAGGCUGUCUCCACCCGAGACUCAGUGAAAUUGAACUCGCUGUGAAGAUGCAGUGUACCCGCGGCAAGACGGAAAGACCCCGUGAACCUUUACUAUAGCUUGACACUGAACAUUGAGCCUUGAUGUGUAGGAUAGGUGGGAGGCUUUGAAGCGUGGACGCCAGUCUGCGUGGAGCCAACCUUGAAAUACCACCCUUUAAUGUUUGAUGUUCUAACGUUGGCCCCUUAUCGGGGUUGCGGACAGUGUCUGGUGGGUAGUUUGACUGGGGCGGUCUCCUCCCAAAGAGUAACGGAGGAGCACGAAGGUUAGCUAAUCCUGGUCGGACAUCAGGAGGUUAGUGCAAUGGCAUAAGCUAGCUUGACUGCGAGCGUGACGGCGCGAGCAGGUGCGAAAGCAGGUCAUAGUGAUCCGGUGGUUCUGAAUGGAAGGGCCAUCGCUCAACGGAUAAAAGGUACUCCGGGGAUAACAGGCUGAUACCGCCCAAGAGUUCAUAUCGACGGCGGUGUUUGGCACCUCGAUGUCGGCUCAUCACAUCCUGGGGCUGAAGUAGGUCCCAAGGGUAUGGCUGUUCGCCAUUUAAAGUGGUACGCGAGCUGGGUUUAGAACGUCGUGAGACAGUUCGGUCCCUAUCUGCCGUGGGCGCUGGAGAAUUGAGGGGGGCUGCUCCUAGUACGAGAGGACCGGAGUGGACGCAUCACUGGUGUUCGGGUUGUCAUGCCAAUGGCAUUGCCCGGUAGCUAAAUGCGGAAGAGAUAAGUGCUGAAAGCAUCUAAGCACGAAACUUGCCCCGAGAUGAGUUCUCCCUGAGACUUUAAGUCUCCUGAAGGAACGUUAAAGACGAUGACGUUGAUAGGUCGGGUGUGUAAGCGUAGCGAUACGUUGAGCUAACCGAUACUAAUGAACCGUGAGGCUUAACCUU